rnacentral:rRNA from 1 species
GACGAACGCUGGCGGCGUGCUUAACACAUGCAAGUCGAACGGAAAGGCCCUGCUUUUGUGGGGUGCUCGAGUGGCGAACGGGUGAGUAACACGUGAGUAACCUGCCCUUGACUUUGGGAUAACUUCAGGAAACUGGGGCUAAUACCGGAUAGGAGCUCCUGCUGCAUGGUGGGGGUUGGAAAGUUUCGGCGGUUGGGGAUGGACUCGCGGCUUAUCAGCUUGUUGGUGGGGUAGUGGCUUACCAAGGCUUUGACGGGUAGCCGGCCUGAGAGAGUGACCGGCCACAUUGGGACUGAGAUACGGCCCAGACUCCUACGGGAGGCAGCAGUGGGGAAUAUUGCACAAUGGGUGGAAGCCUGAUGCAGCAACGCCGCGUGCGGGAUGACGGCCUUCGGGUUGUAAACCGCUUUCGCCUGUGACGAAGCGUGAGUGACGGUAAUGGGUAAAGAAGCACCGGCUAACUACGUG